rnacentral:rRNA from 1 species
CUACUCGGGUUUCUAAUCCUGUUCGCUCCCCACGCUUUCGUCCAUCAGCGUCAGUUGUUGCUUAGUAACCUGCCUUCGCAAUUGGUGUUCUAAGUAAUAUCUAUGCAUUUCACCGCUACACUACUUAUUCCAGCUACUUCAACAACACUCAAGACCUGCAGUAUCAAUGGCAGUUUCACAGUUAAGCUGUGAGAUUUCACCACUGACUUACAGAUCCGCCUACGGACCCUUUAAACCCAAUAAAUCCGGAUAACGCUUGCACCCUCCGUAUUACCGCGGCUGCUGGCAC